rnacentral:rRNA from 1 species
UGCGUAGGCGGUUUGUUAAGUCACUUGUAAAAGAUCUCAGCCUAACUGAGUAAGGCGAGUGAAACUGACAGACUUGAAUACGGUAGAGGUAAGUGGAAUUCCAUGUGUAGCGGUGGAAUGCGUAGAUAUAUGGAGGAACACCAAUGGCGAAGGCAACUUACUGGGCCGGAAUUGACGCUGAGGCACGAAAGCGUGGGGAGCAAACAGGAUUAGAUACCCUGGUAGUCC